CUAGCGACUUCAGAGUUUGAUCCUGGCUCAGGACGAACGCUGGCGGCGUGCCUAACACAUGCAAGUCGAGCGAUGAAGUUUCCUUCGGGAAAUGGAUUAGCGGCGGACGGGUGAGUAACACGUGGGUAACCUGCCUCAUAGUGGGGAAUAGCCUUUCGAAAGGAAGAUUAAUACCGCAUAAGAUUGUAGUUUCGCAUGAAACAGCAAUUAAAGGAGCAAUUCGCUAUGAGAUGGACCCGCGGCGCAUUAGCUAGUUGGUGAGGUAACGGCUCACCAAGGCCACGAUGCGUAGCCGACCUGAGAGGGUGAUCGGCCACAUUGGGACUGAGACACGGCCCAG
rnacentral:rRNA from 1 species